rnacentral:rRNA from 1 species
CCUACGGGAGGCUGCAGUGGGGAAUAUUGCACAAUGGGGGAAACCCUGAUGCAGCGACGCUGCGUGAGUGAAGAAGUAAUUCGUUAUGUAAAGCUCCAUCAGCAGGGAAGAAAAUGACGGUACCUGAGUAAGAAGCCCCGGCUAACUACGUGCCAGCAGCCGCGGUAAUACGUAGGGGGCAAGCGUUAUCCGGAUUUACUGGGUGUAAAGUGAGCGUAGACGGCAGUGCAAGUCUGGAGUGAAAGGCGGGGGCUCAACCCCCGGACUGCUCUGGAAACUGUACGGCUGGAGUGCAGGAGAGGUAAGUGGAAUUCCUAGUGUAGCGGUGAAAUGCGUAGAUAUUAGGAGGAACACCAGUGGCGAAGGCGGCUUACUGGACUGUAACUGACGUUGAGGCUCGAAAGCGUGGGGAGCAAACAGGAUUAGAUACCCCUGUAGUC